GAUGAAGAACGUAGCGAAAUGCGAUAAGUAGUGUGAAUUGCGGAAUUCAGUGAAUCAUCGAAUCUUUGAACGCACAUUGCGCCCCUUGGUAUUCCAUGGGGCAUGCCUGUUCGAGCGUCAUUUGUACCCUCAAGCUUUGCUUGGUGUUGGGCGUCUUGUCGUAUUACGACUCGCCUUAAAUACAUUGGCAGCCGGCACUUUGGCCUAGGAGCGCAGCACAUUUUGCGAUCGUAGCCCGUUGUACUGGCGUCCAUCAAGAACAUUUACCACGUUUGACCUCGGAUCAGGUAGGGAUACCCGCUGAACUUAAGCAUAUCAAUAAGCGGAGGA
rnacentral:misc_RNA from 1 species